UACAGAGGUCUCAAGCGUUGUUCGGAUUCAUUGGGCGUAAAGCGUGCGUAGGCGGCGCGGUAAGUCGGGUGUGAAAUCUCGGAGCUUAACUCCGAAACUGCAUUCGAUACUGCCGUGCUUGAGGACUGGAGAGGAGACUGGAAUUUACGGUGUAGCGGUGAAAUGCGUAGAUAUCGUAAGGAAGGCCAGUGGCGAAGGCGGGUCUCUGGACAGUUCCUGACGCUGAGGCACGAAGGUCAGGGGAGCAAACGGG
rnacentral:rRNA from 1 species